rnacentral:misc_RNA from 1 species
UUACUAGGCCAUCAUCAUUCAUGAUUAGAAUAGGACGAUGAUCUGAUUUAAGUCUCAACAAAUGUAUAACUCUUGACCUAUUAAAAUUGUGGAACCAAUCACUAUUACAUAAAGCCCUAUCUAGCCUCUCCUGCAACAAUCCUCUCUUCCACUCAUCAUGUGUUAUUCUCUGCAUGACCAUUAUCAAAAUGGUCUUCAUGUGAUGCUUACUCCAAAACAUGGUCAAAACUAUUAUAAAUAGCUUAUAUAUUAGAUAAUAAAGAAAGAAAUAAUUCUCACAUUGUUAAAAUACAAGAAAGAGAAGAAGUGGAAAGAAAAUGCAACAUAUAGAAUUAUAUAUAUUUAAAUAAAUAUAUAUUAUUCUAUGAUGACACUAG